rnacentral:lncRNA from 1 species
UCCACAAUGCUUGCGUUAUUAUACAAGUAUAUAUCCCAAAUAUAUUACACAAAAUUAAGAAUAAUACAUCUAUGUUAUUGUAUAUAUUUUUACUUUAUAACAGUGAAAAUUAUAACAAUUAAACAACAAAACUAUGGACAUAUUGUAUGUAUUAUAUUUUAUUAUUGCAUAUAUCUACUAAUUUUUGCAAAUAUUCAUUAUGAUAAUUUUUCAACAUAAAAUCCUUAUGCAUCUAAUAUAAAAUAUGUUUUACAUAAAAUAACAUAAAAAAUUUGUCAAAUUAUUCUUACUUGAUAUCUUACUUCUUCUACCGUUCAAAAUCUGAUUUUGACAAACUUGAAGUGUGCUUAGAAUUUUACAUCUGGGACCUUCUCUUUUUCUU